GCUCUGCCCUCUGCACGCAGGGACACCCAGGCCUGAGGGCCCUCUCACUAAUCCAUGGCUGCCCUCUGUCCUGCAGGGUAACUGAACCCAAAUACAGCAUUUGGGACAAGUAUGGUGACAUUCUACUUUCAUAGAAAAACAAAUUGUUUGGCUGAACAACAGUUCCAGUCUCUGGGCUAUGGAUCCUACUUUACCCUCAGUGGUGGGAAGGAUGAAGGCAAAGCAGAAGAGCAUGUUCAUACUACUCCAACUUUGGACUUUUUCCAUUUUUCAUUGUAACUGGCAAAAUGAGGCUGAGACCUAAAG